ACCAGGCUCUGCUGCACUUAGCAGCCAGGGAAUUGGGGUGGAUGAGGUCGGAGCGCCCCAUGGUGUGGUGCUGUUUUUUUCUCCGUGCACAGGUAAGUUCCUUGUUCCGGAGCAGGGGAUGGGCGCUCUCAGCUCUCACCCAAGCCUCCAUUGGGAGUCAGAAUCUGAGGUGUGGGAGGAUGUGGAGGUCUUGGCAUUACCCGAGGUGAUAGGCAGUGAGCUGCUAUUAAAAAGCAACAAACAAACAACAACAAAAACCCUGGAUGAUGGAGCCGGGUUCCUGUCUCUCUUUAGACUUGAAUUAAAAAGUUGUGUGCGGUAAUUAGGACAGCAGCCUGGUGUGUGUGUGUGUGUGUGUGUGUGUGUGUGCACAUGUGCCUGUGCACACACACUAGGUAGCAUUGCAUCACUGCCAUCACCUCCCAAGCAGCUAUGAUUGGAGGAAAGUCAGUGGAGAGCUGGUCACCCUCUGUUCUAUGAUGCUAACAUUUUGAUUUUUACAAGAGACCCACAUCAACUAAUGGGAAGAUGGGGAGAGAAAGAUGCACCUACUCUCUCUCUCUUCUGGUAGUUAUAUCUCUAGGUGGGCUCCCUUGGUCAUCUUCUCCUCUCUGGAUUGGAGAAUGGCUAAACUCAGUUUGGAAGCUCAUUAGGUUUGGAGCCACUCUUGUAGGAUUCCCUAAGGUAACUCUGGUGUUUCAAUGGUGCUCAUCACUGGACAGAUGAAGCCGGACCGGCGCACUCCAGGUUCUCCCUCAGUAUGCUGGAACGCAGCUCAGGUUGUUUGGGAGUGAGCUGCAGGAAACAAUUUGUUUCUCGGUUGAAGGAUGGUUAAGAGUCCCGAAGCUUCCUCUCCCAUGCCGUUUGAUGAUUUGUUUGGGGUAUGUGUAGACAUUUUAGAGGAGCCAAAACUUCCUUUAAAGGAAAACCCCUCAUUUGUUCCAGCCUCACCGCUCACCAGAAUGACUGAUAAUUGCAAUCCUGGUAGAUAGAAGCUAGCAUUCUGUGUUCUGUCUGGACAGUGUGUACAUGUGUGUAUGUUUGUGUGUAUCUGUGCUUGCAUGUGUGUUUACAUGCGCAUUUGCAUAUAUGUAUGUGUGUGUCUCUGUGUAUAUAUAUAUAUAUAUAUGUGUGUGUGUGUGUGUGUGUCUGUGUCUCUGUGAGUAUGCAUGUAUGUGUAUAUAUGUGUGUGUAUAUAUAUGUAUAUCUGUUUUUGUGUAUGUGCGUGUGUGUCACUAUGUGUGUGCGUGUAUGUGUCUCUGCAUGUGUAUAUGUAUGUGUGUGUGUGUGUGUGUGUGGUCAACAUCAGGUGUCUUCCUUAAUCACUAACUUCUUUUUCAAAGUUUGUAUUCAUUAUUACUGUGUGUGUGUAAGCAGCAUGCAUGAAGGCAUGCUUGCACAGCUCACAUGUGGAGGUAGAACGACAACUCUAUGGAGCUGAUGCUAUUUCUUUGUUGACUCUGGGGAUCAAAGUCAGGUCACCAGGCUUGCCUUUCAUUUUAUCCUGAGCCAUCUCACGAACCCCCACCAACCAUAUCUCUUUUGAGACAUGGUCACUCACUGACCUGGAGCUGGCCAGUUUGAGUACAGUGAUUGGCCAGCAAACCCCAAAGAUUCUCCAGUCCCUGCGACUCAUCUCUGUGACUACACCAGGAUUUAUGAGGGUUGAUGGGGAUUCAAACUCAGGCCCAUAUCUCAAACAGCCUUACUGCCUGAGUCAUCUUCCUGUGAUUUUGACUGCUCUAAGGAUUUGGCAAGUUGAGUCAAACAGGGUUUCUCUUCUUGUUACUGACUUGUUUCAGACAACAUCCUCAGGGUUGAUCAAUGAUCUAACCUGUGUCAGAAUUUUCUCCCUGGAGGCUGAGUAGUGUUCUGUUUGUGUAUGUGUACAUUUUGUGCACCCGCUCAUCCCUCACUGAGCCCUGGCUCACUUUCAGGCUUUAGCAUUGUGAAUGGUGCUAUCACAAAUGUGAAUGUACAAAUAGACCUUUGAAACCCUCCUUUCACUUUCUCAGGGUCUGUACCCCAAAGUAGAAUUGCUGGAUUGUAAUUACGUCGUAGUCCCAUGGCAUCUGUGAUUUUCUCCAUCUUGCCUGAAGCACACGAGGAUCCCAGGCUCUCAACAUCCUUGACAACACUUACUAUUUUCUGUUUUUAUUUUUGUUAUGUGUUUCGUUUUGUGUUCAUCUAAUGCUGGUGACAUGGAUGUUUUCAUAUUUAUUGUUGAUCAUUUGUGCAUCUGCAGAGAAACAGCUCAAGAUUGGUGCCUAUUUUUGAAUCAGGGUGUUUGAUCUUUGUUGUUGAAUUUAGGAAUUCUUUCUGUAUUUGGAUAUUUAUCCCUUAUUAUAUAUAUAUGAUGUAUUGAUAUUUUCUCCCCCAUUGUAGUUUCCUUUUAACUCUACUGAUAUUAUAUAAACAUGUAUUUUUAAUCCU
rnacentral:lncRNA from 1 species